rnacentral:lncRNA from 1 species
CGAGAACGCAGGAGCUGGAAGGACUGGAAAUGGGCAGCCUUCGGAAGACUGAGCACACGGAAGGAUAUGACUAACCCUUUAAAAGGGUCAUUCUGACUCCUGGGUGAAGAACAGACUAGGAAGGGCUGAGAAGGAGGCAGGAGGCCAUCCACUGUCAUAUGGGAUGUGGAGUGUGACCCGGAAAGGCAUUAAAAGCAUUAUCUGAAUCUCAAAGAAAAGUCCAAGACCUGAUGGUUUCCUGGUGAAUUCUACCAAACGUGUAAAGAAGAACUAAUACGAGCCCUUCAUAAACAUUUCCAAAAAACUGAAGAGAAGGGAACACUUCUUAACGCAUUCUAUGAGGCCAGCAUUACGCUGGUACCAAAGCCAGACAUACAUAUGACAAGAAAAGAAAACUACAGACCAAUAUUUCUUCUGAACACUGAUGCAAAAAACCUCAACAAAGUACUGGCAAACUUCAGCAGCAUAUUGAAAGGAUUAUACACUAUGACCAAGGGGAUUUAUUCCUGGAAUUCAAGGAUGGCUUAGUAUACCAAAAAAAAAAAAAAAUCAGUGUACUACACUAUACUAACAGCAUGAAGCAAAAAACUACAUGAUCAUCUCAAUUGAUGCAGAAAAAGCAUUUGACAAAACAACACCCUUUCAUGAUAAAACCACUCAACAGAUUAGGACUGGAAGGCAACUACCUCAACGUAAUAGAAGCCAUUUAUGCAAAGCCCACAUCUAACACUGCUCAGUGAUGAAAGGCUGAAAACUUUUCCUGUAAAAUCAGGAAUAAGAGGCCGGGUGCGGUGGCUCACGCCUGUAAUCCCAGCACUUCGGGAGGCCAAGGCGAGUGGAUCAGCUGAAGUUGGGAGUUCAAGACCGGCCUAAGCAACAUGGAGAAACCAUGUCUCUACUAAAAAUAGAAAACUGGCCAGGCGUGGUGGUGUACACCUGUAAUCCCAGCUACUCUGGAGGCUGCGACAGGAGAAUCGCUUGAACCCAGGAGGCAGAGGUUGUGGUGAGCCAAGAUCGCACCAUUGCACUCCAGCCUGGGCAACAAGAGCAAUACUCCAUCUGAAAAAAAAAUUAAAAUCAGGAAUAAGGCAAAAAUAUCCACUUUUGUCCCUUCUAUUAAGAUCUAGCCAGAGCAAUUAGGCAAGAAAAAUAAAAGGCAUCCAAAUGGAAAAGGGAGAAGUAAAAUUAUCUCUGUUUACAGAUUAUAUGAUCCUAUAUGAAGAAAAUCCUAAAGAUUCCACAAAAGAUCUGUUAGAACUAAUGAAUGAAUGCAGCAAAGCAGUAGGAUGCAAAGAACAAUCUGAAAAGGAAAUUAUGAAAACAAUUCCAUGUACAAUAGCAUAAAAAGAAUAAAACAAGAAUUAAGGCGGUGAAAGACUGGUACAAUGAAAGCUACAAAACAUUGCUGAAAGAAAUUAAGACACAGAUAAAUGGAGAGACAUUUUGCGUUCAUGGGCUGGAAGACUUAAUAUGGUUAAGAUGUCAGUACUACCCAAACCAAUCUACAGA